rnacentral:tRNA from 1 species
GCCCCCUUAGCUCAGUCGGAUAGAGCACAGGUUUCCUAAACCUGGUGUCGCAAGUUCGAUUCUUGCAGGGGGCACCA